rnacentral:rRNA from 1 species
UCCCAUUAGCUGGUUGGUGAGGUAACGGCUCACCAAGGCAACGAUGGGUAGGGGAACUGAGAGGUUUAUCCCCCACACUGGUACUGAGACACGGACCAGACUCCUACGGGAGGCAGCAGUGAGGAAUAUUGGUCAAUGGGCGAGAGCCUGAACCAGCCAAGUCGCGUGAAGGAUGACUGUCCUAAGGAUUGUAAACUUCUUUUAUACGGGAAUAACGGGCGAUACGUGUAUUGCUGUGAAUGUACCGUAAGAAUAAGCAUCGGCUAACUCCGUGCCAGCAGCCGCGGUAAUACGGAGGAUGCGAGCGUUAUCCGGAUUUAUUGGGUUUAAAGGGUGCGUAGGUUGUUCGGUAAGUCAGCGGUGAAAACUGAGCGCUCAACGUUCAGCGUGCCGUUGAAACUGCCGGGCUUGAGUUCAGUGGCGGCAGGCGGAAUUCGUGGUGUAGCGGUGAAAUGCAUAGAUAUCACGAGGAACUCCGAUUGCGAAGGCAGCUUGCCAUACUGCGACUGACACUGAAGCACGAAGGCGUGGGUAUCAAACAGGAUUAGAUACCCUGGUAGUCCACGCAGUAAACGAUGAUUACUAGGAGUUUGCGAUAUACCGUCAAGCUUCCACAGCGAAAGCGUUAAGUAAUCCACCUGGGGAGUACGCCGGCAACGGUGAAACUCAAAGGAAUUGACGGGGGCCCGCACAAGCGGAGGAACAUGUGGUUUAAUUCGAUGAUACGCGAGGAACCUUACCCGGGAUUGAAAUGUAGACGACGGAUGGUGAAAGCCGUCUUCCCUUCGGGGCGUCUAUGUAGGUGCUGCAUGGUUGUCGUCAGCUCGUGCCGUGAGGUGUCGGCUUAAGUGCCAUAACGAGCGCAACCCACAUCGGUAGUUGCUAACAGGUUUAGCUGAGGACUCUACCGAGACUGCCGUCGUAAGGCGUGAGGAAGGUGUGGAUGACGUCAAAUCAGCACGGCCCUUACAUCCGGGGCGACACACGUGUUACAAUGGGAGGGACAAAGGGCAGCUACCGGGCGACCGGAUGCGAAUCUCGAAACCCUUCCCCAGUUCGGAUCGGAGUCUGCAACUCGACUCCGUGAAGCUGGAUUCGCUAGUAAUCGCGCAUCAGCCAUGGCGCGGUGAAUACGUUCCCGGGCCUUGUACACA